rnacentral:rRNA from 1 species
AAUAAGCAGAUAAUGGAUGCCUUGGACGCUAUAGACCGAAGAAGGACGUACAUGACCACGAUAGUCGCUGGGGAGCUGUCAAGAAGCUUUGAUCCGGCGGUGUCCGAAUGGGGAAACCCUCCCGAUUUUAUCGGGAAUCCCCCGCUUUUAGCGGGGAGAUGGGAACGCCUCGAACUGAAACAUCUAAGUAGGGGCAGGAAAAGAAAUCAACGAGAUUCCGUAAGUAAGCGGAGAGCGAAAGCGGAACAGUCUAAACCCAGGGCAGACAAUAUGAGAGAAAUAAGGAUAAUUAAAUAGUUUGGAAUGGCUAGCCAUAGAGCGUGAAAGCCGCGUAAAUACAAUUCUUAUUUCCUCUAGUUUGUACCCAAGUACCAUGAGGUACACUACCUUGUGGGAAUCCGGGGUGACCACACUCCAAGACUAAAUAUCAUAGCGUACCGAUAGUGAACUAGUACCGUGAGGGAAAGGCGAAAAGAAGGGUGAAAAACCUAGUGAAAUAGAACCUGAAAUUAUCUGCUAUCAAGCAGUGAGAGUCCCGAUUUAAUCGGGAUGAUCGCGUGCCUAUUGAAGAAUUAUCCGGCGAGUUUUUGAUUGUUGCAAGUUUAAGCCCGCUAAGCGGGCGGAGGCGUAGCGAAAGCGAGUCUUAACAGGGCGAUUAGCAGCAGUUGAAAGACCCGAAACCAGGUGAGCUAACCAUGAGCAGGGUGAACCCCGAUGAAAGUCGGGGGGAGGCCCGCACUCGUCAGAGUUACAAAUCUGUGAGAUGACUUGUGGUUAGAGGUAAUAUGCCUAUCGAACCUGGAGAUAGCUGGCUCUCCCCGAAAUAUAUAUAGGUAUAGCCUCUCUAAAGGGAAACAACCCAGAUUGUCGUCUAAGGUCUCUAAGUGAUACUUAAGUGUUAAACGAAGUCGAAUUCCCCAGACAACCAGGAGGUUGGCUCAGAAGCAGCCAUCCUUUAAAGAAAGCGUAACAGCUCACUGGUCGAUCACCGGGAGUUUGGCGCGAAAAAUUAACCGAGGCUAAAGUAUCCACCGAAGACACAGAUUGGGAAUGGUAGGGGAGCGUUGAGAGAACAGUGAAAUCCUUCUGUAAGGAUUAGGAUGGAGUGAUCUCAAGUGAUAAUGCCGGAAUGAGUAGCGCAAGUCCGAUGAGAAUUCGGACCGCCGAAAACCCAAGGUUUCCCCAGCUACAUUGUUUGACUGGGGGUGAGUCGGCACCUAAGGCGAGGCCCAAGAAGGCGUAACCGAUGGACGAGCCGUUGAUAUUCGGCUACAUAGUAAGUAUCGUUACCAGUUGGGGAUGGACAAAAGGAGAGUAAUCGAGCGCUUAUAGUGAAUGAGCGUUUAAGCUGUAAGACAGUUGGUCCUGGAAAAUCCGGGCCGGCGUUUAAUCGAGCAGUUAUGGAGAGUCCGAGUCGCAAGGUGAGGACAAUUUGAUGAUCUUUCUUUUUCAAGAAAAGAUUCGCAACGAGAUAUUUAUUAUGCCGUACCGUAAACCGACACUGGUGGGUUGGUCGAGAAGACUAAGGCGAUCGGGAAAAAGUAGUUCAAGGAACUCGGCAAAAAAGCUGGACGUAAUCUAGAGAGAUGUCCUGCCCGGUGUUACAACCGGGCCGCAGCAAAAGAGUGUUUUGCGACUGUUUAACUAAAACACAGGUCCGUGCGAACUCGAAAGAGGCGGUAUACGGGCUGAGACCUGCCCAGUGCUCGUAAGUUAAGUGAAUGGGUGAUCCCGCAAGGGUUAGCCUUGAAAUGAAGCUCGAGUGAACGGCAGCAGUAACUAUAACUGUCUAUGGUAGCGAAGUUCCUUGUCGGGUAAGGGUCAGUUCCGACCCGCACGAAAGGUUUAACGACAGAACAACUGUCUCGAACUAUUACCCGGCGAAAUUGAAAUGGCUGUGAAGAUGCGGCCUACCUCUACUAGGACAAAAAGACCCUAUGGAGCUUUACUGUACUCUGGCCCUGUUUUGGAUUUUAAGAUAGUUUAGUGUAGGAGGGAGUCUUCGGACAACGAUGAAACACCUCUCGUUUUGGAAUCUCAAAACUAACCUAUGACAGCUGAAAACGCUGUUGGAGACAAGGUCAGACGGGCAGUUUUACUGGGGAGGUAUCCUGCUAAAGAGUAACGCAGGAGUACCAAGGUGCACUAGGCUCGAAUGGAAACCGAGCGAGUCGUGUAACGGCAUAAGUGCGCUUGACUGUGAGAGGGACACCUCGAGCAGGUGGGAAACCAGGUCGUAGUGAUCCUCGGAUCCCUCGUGGGAGGGACCGGGCUUAACGGAUAAAAGCUACCCUAGGGAUAACAGGCUGAUCGCCGCCAAGAGUCCAUAUCGACGCGGCGGUUUGGCACCUCGAUGUCGGCUUUGCGCCUAGUGGGAUAACACGCUAAGCUCCCGAAUGAUGAUUUCGGGAUGAUGGUAUAGUCUAACCCUCGUAGAAAUGCGAGAAAUGGUUGCAUCCCAUCCUGGGGGGGCAGUACCUCCCAAGGGUCCGUCUGUUCGCCGGUUAAAGGGGUACGCGAGCUGGGUUCAGAACGUCGUAAGACAGUCGGUCUCUAUCCAGUAGGGGCGAGGGGUUUUUGAGGGAGUCUGACCUCAGUACGAGAGGACCAGGUUGGAGAGACCUCUGGUGUGCCGGUUGUAGCGUCAGCUGCAACGCCGGGUAGCUAUGUUUCUAUGGGAUAACCGCUGAAAGCAUAUAAGUGGGAAGCCCUACCCAAGAUGAGAAACCCAUUUCUGAUAGCAAUAUCGGGAGAGAGACUCGUGGAAGAAUACCACGUUAAUAGGUCAGCAGUGUACGCACGGUAACGUGUUUAGCUUACUGAUACUAAUAUGUCGA